GGGUCAGUAGGUUGGUCGUGCCACCGGUACGUACUGGUCUCACUGAUUCCUCCUUCCUGAAGAACCGUAAUGCCAUUAAUUUGGUGUUGCGGGGAAACAGGACUGUUACUUUGAAAAAAUUAGAGUGUUUAAAGCAAGCUAACGCUUGAAUACAUUCGCAUGGAAUAAUGAAAUAGGACGAUCGAUCCUAUUUUGUUGGUUUCUAGGAUUGACGCA
rnacentral:rRNA from 1 species